rnacentral:rRNA from 1 species
UACGGGGGGUGCAAGCGUUGUUCGGAUUUACUGGGCGUAAAGGGCGCGUAGGCGGCCAGCACAAGUCAGUUGUGAAAUCUCCGGGCUUAACUCGGAACGGCCAAGUGAAACUGCCACGCUAGAGUGCAGAAGGGGCAAUCGGAAUUCUUGGUGUAGCGGUGAAAUGCGUAGAUAUCAAGAGGAACACCUGAGGUGAAGACGGGUUGCUGGGCUGACACUGACGCUGAGGCGCGAAAGCCAGGGGAGCAAACGGG